UUGGAGGGCAAGUCUGGUGCCAGCAGCCGCGGUAAUUCCAGCUCCAAUAGCGUAUAUUAAAGUUGUUGCAGUUAAAAAGCUCGUAGUUGAAUUUCGGGAUCAAUUUAUUGGUCGUGCUAUUGUACGUACUGGUAUUAUUGAUUCCUACCUUCUGACGAACCAUGAUGUCAUUAAUUUGGUGUCAUGGGGAAUCAGGACUGUUACUUUGAAAAAAUUAGAGUGUUUAAAGCAGGCUCACGCUUGAAUACAUUAGCAUGGAAUAACGAAAUAGGACGCUUGAUUCUAUUUUGUUGGUUUCUAGGAUCGACGUAAUGAUUAAUAGGGAUAGUUGGGGGCAUUAGUAUUCAAUUGUCAGAGGUGAAAUUCUUGGAUUUAUUGAAGACUAACUACUGCGAAAGCAUUUGCCAAGGAUGUUUUCAUUAAUCAAGAACGAAAGUUAGGGGAUCGAAGACGAUCAGAUACCGUCGUAGUCUUAACCAUAAACUAUGCCGACUAGGGAUCGGAUGAUGUUAAUUUUUUAAUGACUCAUUCGGCGCCUUACGGGAAAC
rnacentral:rRNA from 1 species